GAUGAACGCUGGCGGCGUGCCUAAUACAUGCAAGUCGAGCGAACAGACGAGGAGCUUGCUCCUCUGACGUUAGCGGCGGACGGGUGAGUAACACGUGGAUAACCUACCUAUAAGACUGGGAUAACUUCGGGAAACCGGAGCUAAUACCGGAUAAUAUAUUGAACCGCAUGGUUCAAUAGUGAAAGACGGUUUUGCUGUCACUUUUAGAUGGAUCCGCGCCGCAUUAGCUAGUUGGUAAGGUAACGGCUUACCAAGGCAACGAUGCGUAGCCGACCUGAGAGGGUGAUCGGCCACACUGGAACUGAGACACGGUCCAGACUCCUACGGGAGGCAGCAGUAGGGAAUCUUCCGCAAUGGGCGAAAGCCUGACGGAGCAACGCCGCGUGAGUGAUGAAGGUCUUCGGAUCGUAAAACUCUGUUAUUAGGGAAGAACAAAUGUGUAAGUAACUAUGCACGUCUUGACGGUACCUAAUCAGAAAGCCGCGGCUAACUACGU
rnacentral:rRNA from 1 species